CACGUAGGCACCAAGCGUUGUCCGGAUUUAUUGGGCGUAAAGAGCUCGUAGGCGGCUUGUCGCGUCGACCGUGAAAACUUGGGGCUCAACCCCAAGCCUGCGGUCGAUACGGGCAGGCUCGAGUUCGGUAGGGGAGACUGGAAUUCCUGGUGUAGCGGUGAAAUGCGCAGAUAUCAGGAGGAACACCGAUGGCGAAGGCAGGUCUCUGGGCCGAUACUGACGCUGAGGAGCGAAAGCGUGGGGAGCGAACAGG
rnacentral:rRNA from 1 species